GACGAACGCUGUUGGCGUGCCUAACACAUGCAAGUCGAGCGAAGUGAGUACUACGGUACGAACUUAGCGGCGGACGGGUGAGUAACGCGUGGACAAUCUACCCUGUAGACUGGGAUAACACCUCGAAAGGGGUGCUAAUACCGGAUAAUGUCGAGAAGCGGCAUCGCUUUUCGAAGAAAGGAGAGAAUCCGCUAUAGGAGGAGUCCGCGUCCCAUUAGCUAGUUGGUGAGGGUAACGGCCCACCAAGGCGACGAUGGGUAGCCGGCCUGAGAGGGUGAACGGCCAAACUGGAACUGAGCCACGGUCCAGACUCCUACGGGGGGCAGCAGUGGGGAAUAUUGUGCAAUGGGGGAAACCCUGACACAGCAACGCCGCGUGAGCGAAGAAGGCCUUCGGGUUGUAAAGCUCAAUAGUAUGGGAAGAUAAUGACGGUACCAUACGAAAGCCCCGGCUAACUACGUGCCAGCCGCCGCCGUAAGAC
rnacentral:rRNA from 1 species